UUUUACCUUUAUUUGCACUGAGAAAAAUUCAUUGAAAUCCACCUGUAUAGCAGCUUCGUGAAUUCCUAUACUUAAAAUAAAAUUGGAAGCAAAGUUCUUCCCCCAGAUUACAAGGAAUGGAGGCUGGGAAACUACAUUUCUGAGACUCCUUCAUCAUCAGGAUGCCAGAUAAUAUUUUAAAUUCAAUUUAAAAUCGAAGCCCAAGAAACAUGUGUUGUGUGUACAAUUUAUGCUAAACUUUAUGUUGAAUUCUGAAGACAAAACGAUAAAUAUGACAAGACUCCUGCUCUCAAAGCAUCUCACUUCUAGUUGGGAGGAAGAAAGUUGGCAGUAAAUACAC